GGGCGAUUAGCUCAGCGGGAGAGCGUUCCGUUCACACCGGAAAGGUCACUGGUUCAAUCCCAGUAUCGCCCA
rfam:Polymorphum gilvum SL003B-26A1, complete genome.